rnacentral:rRNA from 1 species
AGAGUUUGAUCCUGGCUCAGGAUGAACUUUGGCGGCGUGCCUAAUACAUGCAAGUCGAACGCACAGCGAAAGGUGCUUGCACCUUUCAAGUGAGUGGCGAACGGGUGAGUAACACGUGGAUAACCUACCUCAAGGUUGGGGAUAACAUUUGGAAACAGAUGCUAAUACCGAAUAAAACUUCGUAUCGCAUGAUACAAGGUUAAAAGGCGCUACGGCGUCACCUAGAGAUGGAUCCGCGGUGCAUUAGUUAGUUGGUGGGGUAAAGGCCUACCAAGACAAUGAUGCAUAGCCGAGUUGAGAGACUGAUCGGCCACAUUGGGACUGAGACACGGCCCAAACUCCUACGGGAGGCUGCAGUAGGGAAUCUUCCACAAUGGGCGAAAGCCUGAUGGAGCAACGCCGCGUGUGUGAUGAAGGCUUUCGGGUCGUAAAGCACUGUUGUAUGGGAAGAACAGCUAGAGUAGGGAAUGACUUUAGUUUGACGGUACCAUACCAGAAAGGGACGGCUAAAUACGUGCCAACUACCCGCGGGUAAUACGUAUGUCCCGAGCGUUAUCCGGAUUUAUUGGGCGUAAAGCCAGCGCAGACUGUUGAUUAAUCAGAUUUGAAAGCCCGGAGCUUAACUUCGGGAAAGGCUUUGGAAACUGGUCAACUUAUGUGCAGUAAAAGUAAAUGGAACUCCAUGUGUAGCCGGUGGAAGGCGUAGAUAUAUGGAAGAACACCAGCGGCGAAGGCGGCUUACUGGACUGUAAACUGACGGUUGAGGCUCGAAAGUGUGGGUAGCAAACAGGAUUAGAUACCCUGGUAGUCCACACCGUAAACGAUGAACACUAGGUGUUAGGAGGUUUCCGCCUCUUAGUGCCGAAGCUAACGCAUUAAGUGUUCCGCCUGGGGAGUACGACCGCAAGGUUGAAACUCAAAGGAAUUGACGGGGACCCGCACAAGCGGUGGAGCAUGUGGUUUAAUUCGAAGCAACGCGAAGAACCUUACCAGGUCUUGACAUCCUUUGAAGCUUUUAGAGAUAGAAGUGUUCUCUUCGGAGACAAAGUGACAGGUGGUGCAUGGUCGUCGUCAGCUCGUGUCGUGAGAUGUUGGGUUAAGUCCCGCAACGAGCGCAACCCUUAUUGUUAGUUGCCAGCAUUCAGAUGGGCACUCUAGCGAGACUGCCGGUGACAAACCGGAGGAAGGCGGGGACGACGUCAGAUCAUCAUGCCCCUUAUGACCUGGGCUACACACGUGCUACAAUGGCGUAUACAACGAGUUGCCAACCUGUGAAGGUGAGCUAAUCUCUUAAAGUACGUCUCAGUUCGGACUGCAGUCUGCAACUCGACUGCACGAAGUCGGAAUCGCUAGUAAUCGCGGAUCAGCACGCCGCGGUGAAUACGUUCCCGGGUCUUGCACUCACCGCCCGUCA